CCUUGAUGUGUAGGAUAGGUGGGAGGCUUUGAAGCGUGGACGCCAGUCUGCGUGGAGCCAACCUUGAAAUACCACCCUUUAAUGUUUGAUGUUCUAACGUUGGCCCCUGACCGGGGUUGCGGACAGUGUCUGGUGGGUAGUUUGACUGGGGCGGUCUCCUCCCAAAGCGUAACGGAGGAGCACGAAGGUUAGCUAAUCCUGGUCGGACAUCAGGAGGUUAGUGCAAUGGCAUAAGCUAGCUUGACUGCGAGCGUGACGGCGCGAGCAGGUGCGAAAGCAGGUCAUAGUGAUCCGGUGGUUCUGAAUGGAAGGGCCAUCGCUCAACGGAUAAAAGGUACUCCGGGGAUAACAGGCUGAUACCGCCCAAGAGUUCAUAUCGACGGCGGUGUUUGGCACCUCGAUGUCGGCUCAUCACAUCCUGGGGCUGAAGUAGGUCCCAAGGGUAUGGCUGUUCGCCAUUUAAAGUGGUACGCGAGCUGGGUUUAGAACGUCGUGAGACAGUUCGGUCCCUAUCUGCCGUGGGCGCUGGAGAAUUGAGGGGGGCUGCUCCUAGUACGAGAGGACCGGAGUGGACGCAUCACUGGUGUUCGGGUUGUCAUGCCAAUGGCACUGCCCGGUAGCUAAAUGCGGAAGAGAUAAGUGCUGAAAGCAUCUAAGCACGAAACUUGCCCCGAGAUGAGUUCUCCCUGAGACUU
rnacentral:rRNA from 1 species